GAUGAACGCUGGCGGCGUGCCUAAUACAUGCAAGUCGAGCGAACAGACGAGGAGCUUGCUCCUCUGACGUUAGCGGCGGACGGGUGAGUAACACGUGGAUAACCUACCUAUAAGACUGGGAUAACUUCGGGAAACCGGAGCUAAUACCGGAUAAUAUAUUGAACCGCAUGGUUCAAUAGUGAAAGACGGUUUUGCUGUCACUUAUAGAUGGAUCCGCGCCGCAUUAGCUAGUUGGUAAGGUAACGGCUUACCAAGGCAACGAUGCGUAGCCGACCUGAGAGGGUGAUCGCCCACACGGAAAGGGAGACGGGGCCGAGCCCCCGGGGGGGGGAAGAAGGAGGGAAUCUUCCGCAAGGGGGGAGGGCUGGACGGAGCACCGCGGGGGGAGGAAUGAGGGUCUACGGAUGAAAAAAUUUUUUUAUUAGGAAAGAACAAAUGUGAAAGUAACUAUGCUGGUCUUGACGGUACCUAAUCAAAAAGCCACGGCUAACUACGGG
rnacentral:rRNA from 1 species